rnacentral:rRNA from 1 species
AUACGGAGGGUGCAAGCGUUACUCGGAAUCACUGGGCGUAAAGCGCGCGCAGGCGGUCUUUUAAGUUGGAUGUGAAAGCCUACGGCUCAACCGUAGAACUGCAUCCAAAACUAUUAGACUAGAGUGUGGGAGAGGAAGAUGGAAUUAGUUGUGUAGGGGUAAAAUCCGUAGAGAUAACUAGGAAUACCAAAAGCGAAGGCAAUCUUCUGGAACACUACUGACGCUGGGGCGCGAAAGCGUGGGGAGCAAACAGGAUUAGAAACCCUUGUAGUCC